CGGGGACAGGACAGGUGGCAGGAGCUGUGCAGGACCGAGCCAUCAGCACCUCAUGCUGACCUGGUGUCCAGCCAGGAGGAAAUCAUCAGCCCAGCACUGCAGACCUCACGCUGGGCAAGGCUUAACUCACCACAGCCCAAGAGC